CCUACGGGAGGCAGCAGUGGGGAAUAUUGCACAAUGGGCGAAAGCCUGAUGCAGCGACGCCGCGUGAGGGAUGACGGCCUUCGGGUUGUAAACCUCUUUCAGCAGGGAAGAAGCGAAAGUGACGGUACCUGCAGAAGAAGCGCCGGCUAACUACGUGCCAGCAGCCGCGGUAAUACGUAGGGCGCGAGCGUUGUCCGGAAUUAUUGGGCGUAAAGAGCUCGUAGGCGGCUUGUCACGUCGGUUGUGAAAGCCCGGGGCUUGACCCCGGGUCUGCAGUCGAUACGGGCAGGCCAGAGUUCGGUAGGGGAGAUCGGAAUUCCUGGUGUAGCGGUGAAAUGCGCAGAUAUCAGGAGGAACACCGGUGGCGAAGGCGGAUCUCUGGGCCGAUACUGACGCUGAGGAGCGAAAGCGUGGGGAGCGAACAGGAUUAGAUACCCUGGUAGUCCACGCCGUAAACGGUGGGCACUAGGUGUGGGCAACAUUCCACGUUGUCCGUGCCGCAGCUAACGCAUUAAGUGCCCCGCCUGGGGAGUACGGCCGCAAGGCUAAAACUCAAAGGAAUUGACGG
rnacentral:rRNA from 1 species